UCCUCAAUUAUUAUCAGAAACAUUAUGUGGCUAGCUUUCUUCUACCUUCAGCUUUCACAUUAUUGCCAACUGCUAAGAUAAGAUAUAAUCGCAAAGGUUUACUAGUCGUUGACGUCGCCUAAAUUAAGAUUCUAUCAAAUUCUUGUCCAAAAUUCUCAUAAUUAUACUCUGUUUCCCUUCAACUGAUAUCGAUCAUGGCGGCCUACGCAGCCUUGGUUUCUCUAAUGCAUAUCAUAGACGACCUCGAGCGCCACCAUUCUCCUCCGAUUUCUCUCAACAAACAACAAGUUCAAU
rnacentral:lncRNA from 1 species